UUCAUUUCGGAUUAGUGGCAGACGGGUGAGUAACGCGUGAGCAACCUACCUCUUACAAAGGGAUAGCCUCGGGAAACCGGGAUUAAUACCAUAUAACAUUGCGACGAAGCAUUUCGAUGCAAUCAAAGCUACGGCGGUAAGAGAUGGGCUCGCGUCCCAUUAACCGGAUGGUGAGGUAACGGCUCACCAUAGUGACGAUGGGUAACCGGCCUGAGAGGGUGAACGGUCACACUGGAACUGAGACACGGUCCAGACUCCUACGGGAGGCAGCAGUGGGGAAUAUUGCACAAUGGAGGGAACUCUGAUGCAGCGACGCCGCGUGAGUGAUGAAGGAAUUCGUUUCGUAAAACUCUGUUCUAUGGGAAGAAAAGGACUGUACCAUAGGAGAAAGCUCCGGCUAAAUACGUGCCAGCAGCCGCGGUAAUACGUAUGGAGCGAGCGUUGUCCGGAAUUAUUGGGCGUAAAGGGUGCGCAGGCGGCUUUACAAGUUGGAUGUGAAAUAUUGUGGCUCAACCACAAACGUGCAUCCAAAACUGCAAAGCUUGAGUUAAGGAGAGGUAAGUGGAAUUCCUGGUGUAGCGGUGGAAUGCGUAGAUAUCAGGAGGAAUACCGGUGGCGAAGGCGACUUACUGGACUUAAACUGACGCUCAGGCACGAAAGCGUGGGGAGCAAACAGGAUUAGAUACCCUGGUAGUCCACGCCGUAAACGAUGAGUGCUAGGUGUUGGGGGUCAAACCUCGGUGCCGCAAGCAAACGCAAUAAGCACUCCGCCUGGGGAGUACGUGCACAAGCAUGAAACUCAAAGGAAUUGACGGGGACCCGCACAAGCAGCGGAGCAUGUGGUUUAAUUCGUGGCUACGCGAAGAACCUUACCAGGGCUUGACAUAUAUAUGAGGGCGCAACCCUUGCAAUUAGUUACUAACAGAUAGUGCUGAGGACUCUAAUUGGACUGCCGAUGAUAAAUCGGAGGAAGGUGGGGAUGACGUCAAAUCAUCAUGCCCUUUAUGUCCUGGGCUACACACGUGCUACAAUGGUCGGUACAAAGAGGAGCGAAAUGGUGACAUCAAGCAAAUCUCAAAAAACCGAUCCCAGUUCGGAUUGUACUCUGCAACUCGAGUACAUGAAGUCGGAGUUGCUAGUAAUCGCGGAUCAGAAUGCCGCGGUGAAUGCGUUCCCGGGUCUUGUACACACCGCCCGUCACACCAUGGAAGUUGGCAAUACCCGAAGCCGAUGGCCUAACCGCAAGGAAGGAGUCGUCGAAGGUAGGGUCAAUGACUGGGGUGAAGUCGUAACAAGGUAGCCGUAUCGGAAGGUGCGGCUG
rnacentral:rRNA from 1 species